UACACACCGCCCGUCACACCACGAAAGUCGAUUAUACCAGAAGUCGCCGUUUCAACCGCAACUUGCGGAGAUAAGCGCCUAAGGUAUGGUUGGUAAUUGGGGUG
rnacentral:rRNA from 1 species